ACUCAAAUGAAUUGACGGGGGCCCGCACAAGCAGCGGAGCGUGUGGUUUAAUUCGAUGCGACACGAAGAACCUUACCUGGGUUUGACAUGCUCGUAGUAGUGAAGCGAAAGCGGAACGACCCGUAAGGGAGCGAGCACAGGUGCUGCAUGGCUGUCGUCAGCUCGUGUCGUGAGAUGUUGGGUUAAGUCCCGCAACGAGCGCAACCCUUGUCGCUAGUUAUACGUGUCUAGCGAGACUGCCGGUAUCAAGCCGGAGGAAGGUGGGGAUGACGUCAAGUCAGCAUGGCCUUUAUAUCCAGGGCUACUCACACGCUACAAUGGGCAGUACAGUGGGAAGCGAACGGGCGACCGGAAGCGAAUCCUCCAAAGCUGCUCGUAGUUCAGAUUGCAGGCUGCAACCCGCCUGCAUGAAGCUGGAGUUGCUAGUAAACGCAGGUCAGCGAUACUGCGUUGAAUACGUUCCCGGGCCUUGUACACACCGCCCGU
rnacentral:rRNA from 1 species